ACCUGGAAACAAGAAGUUCCCGAUCAACUGUUGCUAUGCGAGAAUACUACUGCUAUAAGUUCCAAAUGCGCCCAGCAGAAAACAUAUUGUUGUUGGGUGGGAGGUUGCUACAACAGUUUACAGUUGACAUGUACAUAAAAGUAGAGACAUCACGAUUAAAUUACUAUGAACGGAACCAACCCAGAAUAAGGGCAGAACUGUACCAGGGAAUUGUGGAUUGCGUGAACGCCGGGGACGCUCACCCAACCAGAAUUGGGAGGCGUAUAGUUCUUCCUGCAUCUUUCAUUGGCGGCCCUCGCGACAUGCGCCGUCGGUUCCUAGACGCAAUGACUUUAGUACAGGAUGAUGGAAAACCAGAUUUGUUUCUGACAAUGACAUGUAACCCCCAGUGGCCUGAAAUUUGUCACAAUUUGCAGCCAGGACAGACUGCACAAGACCGUCCUGAUCUUGUUUCAAGAGUUUUCCGUGCAAAAUUGGAGGACCUGAAAGAACAACUCUUUAAAAAACACAUUCUUGGCGAGGUCAAAUCACACGUUUACGUGAUUGAGUUCCAGAAACGUGGUUUGCCCCAUGCCCAUUUCCUUCUUAUAAUGUACCCGCAUCACAAAAUCAAUAACCCAGAUCAGUAUGAUAAGUUUGUGAACGCCGAAAUCCCAAACAUACAAACGCAUCCCCAGUUGCAUGAACUUGUCGUAAAACACAUGAUUCAUGGCCCUUGUGGCACCCUGCGAAUCAACAGCCCCUGUAUGCAAGGGGAUCCUAAAAAUGUCGUUUUCAUUAUCCAAGACAAUUUAAUGACCGCACAACACAAGGAGAGGAUGCAUAUCCACUCUACAGAAGGCGCAACAACGGGAUAAAAGUCGACGUACGAGCCAACACUCUAGAUAACAGAUGGGUUGUUCCGUACAACCCAAAGUUACUUAUGAUGUUCAACUGCCAUAUUAAUCUCGAGAUAUGCUCCAGUGUUAAAUCCGUCAAAUAUCUCUUCAAAUACAUUUACAAGGGUCAUGAUAAACAAGUCAUCCAUAUAGAUCCGGAUGGCGAGGACGUUGUUAUCAACGAAAUAAAACGAUUCCAGGAUGCACGCUAUGUAUCGCCACCCGAGGCAAUGUGGCGGAUUUUUGCCUUCAACCUUUCUCAGAUCUACCCGACUGUUUUAGCAUUACAACUUCACCUCCCUAAAAAUCACACAGUUACAUUUACAGACACCGCCAUAAUCUCUGAAAUAAUACACCGGGAAAGGGAUAAACAUACAAUGCUCACUGCUUUUUUUGAGAAAAAUAGACAGGAACCAGCAGCCCGACAGUAUUUGUACAAAGACUUCCCAUCAAAGUACACGUGGAAUAAAGCCAGCUGUCGUUGGAAUUCCCGUUUGAUAAAAAGGCAACAGAGAGGUCGAAUUGUUUCCGCAAAUCCAUCUGAAGGAGAACGGUACUACUUACGACUUCUUUUGACACACAUCCGGGGGCCUACUUCGUUUGAACACCUUCGCACUGUACAAGGUGUGGAACACCCUACUUUCCGUAAAGCCGCUUUAGAAAACGGGUUAAUUGAAAACGACAACAACUUAUCACUAUGUCUCGAUGAAGCCGCCAUAUUUCAAUUCCCAAAUGCCCUUCGGAGGUUAUUUGCAACCAUAUUGGUCUUCUGUGAACCAGGCGAUGUUCGCAAGCUAUGGGAUGACCAUUUUGACACACUUUCAGAAGACUAUCAAAACCUUUCCAGUAGCAACAAUCACAUCCAAAAUCUGGUCUUACAGGAUCUUAGUUCACACCUACAAUCUAUGGGUAAAGAUUUGGCCGACUAUGACCUCCCAACCAUAGAAAAUGAACACACGCCACUAGACGUAACAGAUCGUGACACACAAGAGGAGUUAAACAUAGUUAUUGACCCGGCCCACUUACAUGCGCAAUACUCCCUCAACUCUGACCAACGGAAUGUGUUUGAUGUAGUGAUGCACUACGUUACACAUGGCGUACCAGCAGUGUUCUUCAUUGACGGCCCAGGUGGAACUGGGAAAACAUUUUUGUACAACGCAUUGCUCGCUGAGGUCCGUUCACGAGGCCUAAUUGCACUUGCAACAGCUUCAUCAGGCGUCGCGGCAAAUAACAUGCCGGGUGGUAGAACCGCACACUCAAGAUUCAAAAUCCCGAUAAACCUAUGUAACAACUCCAUGUGCAACUUAAAAAAACAAAGUGGUGUCGCUCGCCUUAUCAACUCAUCGAAACUAAUCAUUUGGGACGAAGCCUCCAUGGCAAAACGACAAUCGAUAGAGGCAGUCGAUCGCACCUUGCAAGACAUCACAGGCAUACCUCUCCCGUUUGGUGGAAAAACAAUGGUAAUGGGCGGAGACUUCAGGCAAGUGCUACCCGUUGUCAAGCGAGGCACGCGAGCACAGAUCGUAGACGCUAGCCUUCGUAUGUCACCUCUUUGGGUAUUGACUAGGAAAAUGCGGUUGACCACAAAUAUGAGGGCAAUCAACGAUCCAUGGUUCUCAGACUUCCUAUUACGAGUAGGAGAUGGAACACAACCGUCAACAGAUGGAACAUACAUCUGCAUCCCCGCAGACAUGACAAUCCCCUUUACCACCAAAGAGGAGUCAAUUAAAGAACUCAUUAACGCAAUCUUCCCAUCACUACGUACAAAUGUCCAACCCACCGAAUGUAUAACAUCACGAGCAAUCUUAACAACUAGAAACGAGACCGUCGACGAGAUCAAUGACCAUAUGAUAGACCUUUUCCAGGGGGACGCAAAAGUCUACUACAGUUUUGACACAGCGGACGACGACAAACAAAACCUCUAUCCAACCGAGUUCCUCAACUCACUGACUAUCAGCGGGUUACCACCUCACAAGCUUCGCCUGAAAACUGGAUGCCCCAUAAUAUUGCUUCGAAACAUCGACCCGUCAAAUGGUUUAUGCAACGGCACACGACUUAUAUGUAAGGCAUUCACACCCAACGUAAUUGACGCUGAAAUAGCAAUCGGUGACCAUAAGGGGAAAAGAGUUUUCUUACCAAGAAUACCCAUGUGCUUAUCGGAAGAUGACAUGUUACCUUUCAAACUAAAGAGAAAACAAUUCCCCAUCCGGCUUAGCUUCUCGAUGACAAUCAACAAAUCGCAGGGUCAAACUAUACCAUACGUUGGUAUCUACCUCCCGGAAUCUGUGUUCUCGCAUGGGCAGCUUUACGUCGCAUUGUCAAGAGGCAAGUCACGUGAAAACACAAAGGUCCUUGUCCACCCGGAUAAAAAAUUUACACAGCCUGGCGUUUACACCUCUAAUGUUGUCUAUCGCGAAGUUUUGCAACCCUGAUCCCCCAAUCUUAUACAAACCAAAACGUACGUUCGGUUAUGUAUUUAAUGUCACCAAGAUGAAAUAAAAACUGGGUCUCCACUCCACCAUACAUCACUUCCCAGAUCCCCCAUAGUGUCUUAUACAAUCUUUCCGAUGUUUAAUGUUGCAGUGACCGGUCUUUUUAAUUCUACCACAACCCCCUACGAAAACAUGUGAUCUCAACUGAGCUGUUCCGUUUACUCAUCGAUUAAUAAACGGACUCUGCUGGUGAAGUUUAAAGGCGACGAGAGGGACCAACAACGUUCAUGCAUCUGAAAGUCAACCAAAAAAAUCAGAACCUGUUCCGCUUGCCAGGUCACAAUUUCACAACCAAGCAAAACAAAUACCACAUGACGCGAUGACGCCUGCCAUUGCAUGCCAAAAUGAAACAACCAACAAGGGCAUCGUAAACACAUAAAUGUAUCUUGUAAUGGUUUGUACUUCCCUAACCGGUUUUCAUGGGAUUUUAGUCACUAAAUGUAACUGGUCUAUUACUCUUUGUGAAUGUCCUCCAUUGGUAUGUUUUUUGCUAAAAUCACUUCCCAGUUCCUCCACAGCCUCUUAUAAAAUCUUCCCUAUGUUUAAUGUUCCAGCGACCGGUCUUUAGAAUUUUACCACAACCCCCUACGAAAACAUGUCAUCUCAACUGAGCUGUUCCGUUUACUCAUGUAUUAAUAAAGGGACUCUGCUGCUGGUACGAUUAUACAUUAGUCCAUACGGUUCUGCUGCUGCUACUAUUAUACAUUACUACA